rnacentral:rRNA from 1 species
AUUGAACGCUGGCGGCAUGCUUUACACAUGCAAGUCGAACGGCAGCGCGGGGCAACCUGGCGGCGAGUGGCGAACGGGUGAGUAAUAUAUCGGAACGUACCCAGAAGUGGGGGAUAACGUAGCGAAAGUUACGCUAAUACCGCAUACGAUCUACGGAUGAAAGUGGGGGAUCGCAAGACCUCAUGCUUUUGGAGCGGCCGAUAUCUGAUUAGCUAGUUGGUAGGGUAAAGGCCUACCAAGGCGACGAUCAGUAGCUGGUCUGAGAGGGCGACCAGCCACACUGGGACUGAGACACGGCCCAGACUCCUACGGGAGGCAGCAGUGGGGAAUUUUGGACAAUGGGCGCAAGCCUGAUCCAGCAAUGCCGCGUGAGUGAAGAAGGCCUUCGGGUUGUAAAGCUCUUUUGUCAGGGAAGAAACGGCCGAGGCUAAUACCUUUGGCUAAUGACGGUACCUGAAGAAUAAGCACCGGCUAACUACGUG